rnacentral:tRNA from 1 species
GAGGGUAUAGCUCAAGUGGUAAAGCACAUGCUUAGCAUACAUGAGGUCCUAGGUUCAAUCCCCAGUACCUCCU